rnacentral:lncRNA from 1 species
ACCGAAAUGAAACACUAUUUCAAGUCAAACUUGCUUACAAUCACGUUUAGGAAGCAAAGUUAAUACUCACAGAUGCAUGAUUUUGUUCUUACAGUUCUAGCAGUUUUGGUUUAGCAAUACCAAGACGUCUUGUUUAUUAAAUCGCCUUAAUUGGAAAUAUAUAAAUGGCGAAAUUUUUAAAGGAAAAUUUCGACAAAAAAGAAAACUUUGAUUUUGGAAAGUGGAAGUAGUAGCAUUCGCGAAGCAGCGAAAACCUUUUCUGGCUUUUCAAGGGUUUUUUUUUAUCGGGCAGUAUAAGAGGGUAACUUUUUGUUGUUUUUAAUCUUAUUUAACUGACAUG